GUCAGUUACAGUGGUAUGUACUUGUAGUCCCAGCUACUUUGGAGGCUGAGGUGGGAGAAUCACUUGAGUUCAGGAAUUUGAGGCCAGCCUGGGCAACAUAGUAAGACCUCAUUU
rnacentral:sRNA from 1 species